rnacentral:rRNA from 1 species
GACGAACGCUGGCGGCGUGCUUAACACAUGCAAGUCGAACGGAGUGGCGAACGGGUGAGUAACACGUGGGUGAUCUGCCUUGCACUUCGGGAUAAGCUUGGGAAACUGGGCCUAAUACCGGAUAGUGCAAGAUGAGCUCGCGGCCUAUCAGCUUGUUGGUGGGGUAAUGGCCUACCAAGGCGUCGACGGGUAGCCGGCCUGGGAGGGUGUACGGGCACAUUGGGACUGAGAGACGGCCCAGACUCCGACGGGGGGCAGUGGGGGGGAUUAUUGCACAAUGGGCGGAAGCCUGAUGCAGCGACGCCGCGUGGGGGAAGAAGGCCUUCGGGUUGUAAACUCCUUUCGACAGGGACGCGGUACCUGUAUAAGAAGCACCGGCUAACUACGUGCCAGCCGCCGCGGUAAUUC